GAUGAACGCUGGCGGCGUGCCUAAUACAUGCAAGUCGAGCGAACGGACGAGAAGCUUGCUUCUCUGAUGUUAGCGGCGGACGGGUGAGUAACACGUGGAUAACCUACCUAUAAGACUGGGAUAACUUCGGGAAACCGUAGCUAAUACCGGAUAAUAUUUUGAACCGCAUGGUUCAAAAGUGAAAGACGGUCUUGCUGUCACUUAUAGAUGGAUCCGCGCUGCAUUAGCUAGUUGGUAAGGUAACGGCUUACCAAGGCAACGAUGCAUAGCCGACCUGAGAGGGUGAUCGGCCACACUGGAACUGAGACACGGUCCAGACUCCUACGGGAGGCAGCAGUCGGGAAUCUUCCGCAAUGGGCGAAAGCCUGACGGAGCAACGCCGCGUGAGUGAUGAAGGUCUUCGGAUCGUAAAACUCUGUUAUUAGGGAAGAACAUAUGUGUAAGUAACUGUGCACAUCUUGACGGUACCUAAUCAGAAAGCCACGGCUAACUACGUG
rnacentral:rRNA from 1 species